GCCAGGUGCCAUGUUUCCUGGACUUCUGUUACUCUUAGGCUGAAGCAGGGACCUCUGCAGGCCCUCUGGGAGUGCUCAGCCCAGUUACCAACUGAGGAAGCCAGCCACAGGAAUACCUGUUAUUUGUAUCAUGAUAAAGUGUAAUGGUCCAAACCAAAUGCUUGAGUUUCAUCACAUUUGGAAGCACCCUUCCGAUGGUUCACGUGGUGACUGUUGCAGAACCUUGAGGACUCAAAGCUUGUCCAGGAUUUUCAGUCUGAUUAUGUGCACUGUAGGAGGAAUAGCUUGAAUUGUUAACUAAGAAUAUUGCUGUAUAUUAAGGAUCAUUUUCCCCAUAAAGAGAUAUAACUCAAAC
rnacentral:lncRNA from 1 species